GGUUGAUCCUGCCAGUAGUCAUAUGCUUGUCUCAAAGAUUAAGCCAUGCAUGUCUAAGUAUAAGCAUUUAUACUGUGAAACUGCGAAUGGCUCAUUAAAUCAGUUAUAGUUUAUUUGAUAGUACCAUUACUACUUGGAUAACCGUGGUAAUUCUAGAGCUAAUACAUGCAUAAAAACCCGACUUCGGGAAGGGUUGUAUUUAUUAGAUAAAAAACCAAUCCGGUUCUGCCGGUUUUUUUGGUGAUUCAUAAUAACUUUUCGAAUCGUAUGACUUUACGUCGACGAUGGUUCAU
rnacentral:rRNA from 1 species